CCUCAAUUCUAGAACUGAAGACAAAGAUGACUGAGAUCUUUAAAUUAGAUACUUAUUUUACAAUAUGAUGGAGCAGUAACUUAUGACUCUGAAGAAGUAGGAGUAGGAGACAUGGAGGAGAAACAGGAAGAGGAGGAACGGAGAAAUCCAGCAGCUUCCAGUUGGGCACCCCCGCCCCUUCAUCUUCCUCAACAAGUUUGAUUCAUUCCCAGUAACUGGAGACCCUGCAUGGGACUAUGAACUGCUUUCAUUCUGGAUGCUCCUGAGUCGGCUCUGAAACAUGAGUCCUCAGUGUGAAGUUACUCACAGGUGAUUAUGCUGCCUUGCAUCCUGUGAAAGGAAAACGAGAUUACCACCACAGCCCUGGCAACAGUGUGAGUUCAGGACUCUGUGUGGGCGUGGAGAGGCUUCCUCGCCACACCCCCCAGCGUGUGCAUGCUGCCUGAUGACACAGCCAAACCAAGCAGAUAAUGUUCUGUAAAAACAAAUAUCUUCAGUAGAAGAUUCAGUAACUUUCUCAAACCAAGCUGGCUGACAGAUGCAAUGUCCAACAGUGCUGCUGUUGUCUCCCCGUUCUUUCUUUCCCUCAGUAUGCAUUAUCU